rnacentral:rRNA from 1 species
AUUGAACGCUGGCGGCAGGCCUAACACAUGCAAGUCGAGCGGAUGAAGGGAGCUUGCUCCUGGAUUCAGCGGCGGACGGGUGAGUAAUGCCUAGGAAUCUGCCCGGUAGUGGGGGAUAACGUCCGGAAACGGGCGCUAAUACCGCAUACGUCCUGAGGGAGAAAGUGGGGGAUCUUCGGACCUCACGCUAUCAGAUGAGCCUAGGUCGGAUUAGCUAGUUGGUGGGGUAAAGGCCUACCAAGGCGACGAUCCGUAACUGGUCUGAGAGGAUGAUCAGUCACACUGGAACUGAGACACGGUCCAGACUCCUACGGGAGGCAGCAGUGGGGAAUAUUGGACAAUGGGCGAAAGCCUGAUCCAGCCAUGCCGCGUGUGUGAAGAAGGUCUUCGGAUUGUAAAGCACUUUAAGUCGGGAGGAAGGGCAGUAAGUUAAUACCUUGCUGUUUUGACGUUACCAACAGAAUAAGCACCGGCUAACUUCGUG